AGGGUUGGCAGUGGAUGUGAAAGCAUUUCACUGGAGAUCUCUGCUUAGCUUUCAAAGGCCUUCUAAAGGUACAAAUGUCACAGAAGAAGCUGUUACAGCAUCUGUCAGAUAUGUUACUAAUACCACAAGUGGUGAAGGUUUUCACGUAGCAGCCUUGUUUUCAGCAUUAGGAGCCAGCUCCUAAUGCUGGUGACAGGACAGACUGCUGUGCAGUGGGUCGGGCUGUGUGCCAGCGAUGGAUGGAUACGGCUCACAGAACCACAGCACCGACUGCGUACCUACGGGGUGCAGUUACUGCGAGCACAGUCACUCGCUGCUGAGUGAGGGCUAGCUGAGCUAAGUGUAGAACUUAUGUAAAAUCCUGUGGCAUUGGUGGAUAAAGGAAAAUCAACUGCAGCUAACAAUCUUGUUACACUUUGGAUGUUAGAGUAUGUGAUGUACGAACUGGAAGUAGCUGAACAGCUGUAGGAGUAAAGGUGGCUUUUACUUUACUGUGAGGCACAGGCAAUGCUAAGAAUACCUCAGACAGCCGGGCUCGGAGGGGGGGAUCUCUCGUUGGAUUCGUACCCGCACUCGCUCCGCUCACAUCGGGGCGUUUUGCGGCACGGUCCCUGGCUGGCACGGCGGCGCGCGCUGCUGCCGCCUGCAGGUCGGCACGCGGUACUGCAGGCGGCGCUCCGGCAUACGCGGUGCCGGCGAGUCUCGGCGGGGAGGGAAUGGCGUGGCGGGGCCGAAGCGCUUUGCGGAAGCAGCAGGAGUCGCUCGGCAGAUACGCGGAACGAUCGGGAAAAGGCACCCCGUGGGUGAGGAGGAAAGAACACCGCUUCGGCGCCUGCCUCUCCUUGCCGGAGUGCUGCACAGCAAUGCAAAACGCGGUUGUGCGCGACGCCACACGCAGACCACGCCAUCACUGCGGGCGGACCCAGGGCUCGCCGCCGUCAGGAAUAGGAACGGUACCUCUGCUGUGCAGAACGCGUGCGCGAUGCCGCUUGGAAGACCGAUGAUCAUAGAGCGUGGCGGACCCAGAAAGCAGAGCGGCCUGCAGCGUUUCCUUCUUACUUGACAGGCGUCGCUUCGGGGCGGUGGCCGUGACCGUCAGCAGGGCGCAGCCGUGGCGGCCGGAGGCUCCGCUGCCUCCGCUCCUCCCGGUCCCGGCAGCCUCCCGCAGCUCAGGGCGGUUUACGCUCGGCCUCGCACAGCGCCCGCUACGCCCCUCCUUUGCCCCACCUUUACACCUUCGCACCUCCCCGCUGCUACACUCAACCACUAAGAGCAAAAAUUUAUUUUCAUGGCGGUGAUAAAAAUAAUUCCAUGAUUUCUGUAAGCCAUUACAUAAAUGCUCUCGUAUAGAAAAGUUGUACCAUGUGCUCAGUUUUAAACAGUUCACAUAAGUAACAGCGUGCUACAAUUGCUACCUUUAGUACAACUCACUAAGACAUCUCCUAAUGGAACAGUUCCACAAAUUAAUACGAGUAAUUAAGGUCUGAUGAUGACCACAGUUACACAAACAGGCUGUGACAGUAACGUUACUACCUGUAUUUAAUACUAGAAGACUCUGGAUGGGAAUAUAUAAGAAACGUCUUUAGUAAUCAGUUAUUCAAGACUAGUAAGCCUAUGCCAUGCAGUAUGGAGCUACCUGCACUGAGCUUCAAUCACAGCUCUCACUGUAAAACCCUGAGCAAUCUGUUGUUCCCAGGCUCAAAUAAU